UGCAUAGAAAUGAAUUCUUGACAGAAUUUCAAAGGAAUUAAUAUUUUGGCAAAAUGUGCUAAUGUAAAGAAUUAGAAGAUUAGUGAGGCAUAAGGAGUGCAAUGCAUUCUUCCACAUGGAAACAGAGAAAGAAUAACUGUCCUGCAGGUGACCGGGCCACAGCAAUUUUAUUUAAGAUUAAUGUCUGACUGGCCCUGUUAGGAUGUUUAACCUUUCUGAAAUUAAAAGCCACAGCUGCAUUAGUCUGUCCAAUUUAAAUGUAAA
ensembl:misc_RNA